UUAAUCUUAACUUGCUAUUCUGGACAUUUUCAGACAAAUAUUACCAUUUUUAUUCAGUCUGUUUUGGUCUGGGAUGGGGAAUGGCACUCUACAGGCCGUUUCGAUCACUCAUGAUCCCAUCAGUUCUUGGUGUCAUUUUCACCAUAAUCUUUGAAGUCUUUGGCAUAGUUUCUGACAUUCCAGCCCAUACAAGAAGAUGUAAAGGCCAACCUUAUGACAAAAAAGAUAUUUAUUGGGGAUUUUGUUUUGCACUGUUCGUGGCCGUCUUGAACCUCAGGUCAUAUCACGUCUACACACUGUCUUAUGGAUGUGGAAUCAUAGUGUUUUCUCUUAGGGGAGCAAUAAGGAAAUACAACUCUUUGAAGGAGCUGAGAAGGAGACAGAGCUCCAGGUGGUAGAAUGAGUUUACAGCCACAGAGGAUGGAUUUACCAGAAGUGAUUUUUUUUUCUUGGCACUUUAAAAGUCAAAGUGCAGACCUGUGAUUCAUAAUUAACUGCAAUUUCAGAUAAAUAAUUCAUGGUGCAAUAGCAACAAGCAUGUUUCAGAAACUUGAUCAGUUUUUCAGCUAGUCAUUUUGUAGUUUGUAAAGAAAAUAUGUAAGCCAACUCAGGGAUGUACAGUAAAUAAUAUAUGAUACAAAAACAUGUAUUUCACUUUUAUAAAAAAAAAAAAAAGUUGCAGUGUUCUAGUGAGUGUUGGGAAGUUAUUAGUGACAUGUACCAGUAUG